rnacentral:lncRNA from 1 species
UCAUGAGUCACAACCACACAUCCACGUUGCCACAUCUUAUUUCCUUACUAUACUUCAUACUACAUAAUAAUACUAACAUUUAACUAAGACUUUGCUUCUCUGCAAAACUUCAAUACUACAAACUUCACCUUCAAAAUACUCAGUGUUCCUUGUUGGCUCAAUCAUGGCUUCGGCUACUUUCUCUGUAGCCAAACCAGCUAUUAAGGUCCAGUAUAACUCUAGCUUUACUAUAAAUAAGGUUCAUGCAGAAGCCAUAUUUAUAUUUACACUAGUUUUUCUUUUUCUUUGCUUUGUUUUAGGCAAAUGGGAAAGGCUUCUCUGAAUUCUCUGGUCUCCGCAACUCUUCAAGACAUCUUCCCUUUUCUAGAAAAUCUUCAGAUGAUUUUCAUUCUCUUGUUACCUUCCAGACCAAUGCAGUAAGUUCCUUAUCUCCAUUGAAUGACUAAUACUUUUGUUAUUGUAAAAAUGAAGAACUUGAUCAUAGUAUGUGUAAGAAAAAACCCUAGGGUCCCGAGAGAGUGAUCCUGAGAGUGUGAUUCUCUCAAGAUCUCAAAUUUGAAUUCUGCUAGGUGCUAACAAUGAUCCCCGCUAGUGGACGGUGGGAUUCGAAAAAAUUAAGUGACAUGUUUUACAAUUUUGCAUCUAUCUAUCUAUCAAUUUAUAUAUGUAUAUUUGAAGGUUGGAAGUAGUGGAGGACACAAGAAAAGUCUUGUAGUGGAAGCAAAACAACUGAAGGUAGCCAUAAAUGGAUUUGGAAGAAUUGGAAGGAACUUCUUGAGAUGUUGGCAUGGUCGCAAGGACUCGCCUCUUGAUGUCAUUGCCAUCAAUGACACCGGAGGUGUAAAGCAAGCUUCUCACCUUCUCAAGUAUGAUUCCACACUUGGAAUCUUUGAUGCUGAUGUUAAGCCUGUUGGUACUGAUGGCAUCUCAGUUGAUGGAAAGGUUAUCAAAGUUGUCUCGGACCGCAACCCUGCCAACCUUCCUUGGAAGUAAGCUAGUCUCUCAUUCACUGAUUUAUGAACAUGUUAUAAGUUAUUUCAAUAAGCUUUGUCUCAUAAAUGAUCAUGUUAGUAGAUAAGUUUAAAUAUAUCAAUCUAAAUAGACCCUUAAGUAGAUAAGAACUUCUCCAAUGCUCAUGGAGAAAAUUGUCUAAAGAAUAUACAUUAGUGAUUGAUCAAUAAGGACAUUUAAAUCAUACAUCAUCAUUGUGUAUCGAUUGUUGGUUACCGAUUUAUUAAGCAGCGACACACAGGCUAUAAAGAUUGCUAUUGAUAUUUUGCAGGGAG